CUUUACCUCGAUAGCUUUGUCGGAAGGAGCCGCCAACACCACCACCAGGCGUUAUCCCGCUGGCUGGUUCGGCGUGUGGAGGCCACGCCAGGCAUUUGAUUUCUGAUGUUCUGCAGCCAACAAGUGUUGGCUUUGCUCUAGCCACAUCAUUCGUCCUAUGUCAUUUAGUGUGUACAGCCAUCUCCGUUUCUUGGACUAUUGCAGCAGGUAUACUCUUAUUUUUUAAUAAUUUGGCUUUAUCUUUCUAUUCAAAAUAAGCUGGAUGAGAUGCUUUUCAUCUUGCAAACACUGUCCAUUUGCGUCUAUCCAUGUUUGUGUGCAGAUUUCAGUGUGUGUAUGCAAUCGAAGAAUACCCCAUCCUUCACAUCGGAUUUUGCACUGCUUGAUCUUUAGGGGAAUAAAAGAAAGACAAGAUCAGGGUAUUUUUUUUGUAGCAGCUCUACCUUGUAUUCUCCUUUUCUAAAUAGCUUAGUUAUGUUUGCUUCAUCUUCUCCCAUGUGAUAGUUCCUUCCUCCAUUUGUAAAUAGAUAAUUGGCCUUCUUAAAUUAUACUUAUUAGCGAAUUUUUGCUAAGGAAGAAAUAAAUUCAUGAAUGCUCUUUUUACCAUUUACAUUGCUUUAUGUCUAUGUCAUUUACUUUGAUAGCUGUUAGCAUUCUGAGUUACUGCUUGGUGGACCUCGGUAUUUUACUUCAGUUCGCAUUGUUGCAGGUCUUCUCCUUGUUGCUUUUCAAGUUGUAGGUCAAAAGAAAAGGUCUACCAUUUAAGAUAAAUCCAGCCAACAGCCAGUUCAGAGGUAUUCACUUGUUUAGGGACUUUUAUUAAGUUACAUUUAUCCAUAUUUUUUUAUUUUAGAUGAUGCAUUACCUUUCAUGGUUGUAUUCGCUUUCCAGAACCAUUUAUUUGCAUACGUUCUUUUCUUAGUCAGAAAUCCAGUAAGCUUGACGCCAAAGAGAGGAAAUGGCUUAGUUGUGUUUCCA